UACGGAGGUGGCAAGCGUUGUUCGGAAUUACCGGGCGUAAAGCGCGUGUAGGCGGCUCUUCAAGUCAGACGUGAAAGCCCCGGGCUUAACUCGGGAACUGCGUUUGAUACUGUCGAGCUAGAGUGUGGAAGGGGCGAUUGGAAUUCCGUGUGUAGCGGUGAAAUGCGUAGAUAUACGGAGGAACACCAGAGGCGAAGGCGGAUCGCUGGGCCAACACUGACGCUGAGACGCGAAAGCUAGGGGAGCAAACGGG
rnacentral:rRNA from 1 species